GAUGAACGCUGGCGGCGUGCCUAAUACAUGCAAUCGGACCGACAAACGAGGAACUUGCUCCUUUGACGUUAACGGCGGACGGGGUAGUAACCCGUUGGUAACCUACCUAUAAAGCUGGGAUAACUUCGGGAAACCGGAACUAAUAACCGAUAAACUGUUUAACCGCCUGGGUCCAACAUUAAAAGCCGUCUUUCUUUCCCUUAUAAGUGGAACCGCGCCGCAUUAGCUAGUUGGUAAGGUAACGGCUUACCAAGGCAACGAUGCGUAGCCGACCUGAGAGGGUGAUCGGCCACACUGGAACUGAGACACGGUCCAGACUCCUACGGGAGGCAGCAGUAGGGAAUCUUCCGCAAUGGGCGAAAGCCUGACGGAGCAACGCCGCGUGAGUGAAGAAGGUCUUCGGAUCGUAAAACUCUGUUAUUAGGGAAGAACAAAUGUGUAAGUAACUAUGCACGUCUUGACGGUACCUAAUCAGAAAGCCACGGCUAACUACGUG
rnacentral:rRNA from 1 species